UUAUCUCUGUAGAGUCUGCAUAUCAAUAAGCGGAGGAAAAGAAACUAACAAGGAUUCCCUUAGUAACGGCGAGUGAAGCGGGAAGAGCUCAAAUUUGAAAUCUUCAAGGUUUUACCUUGACGAAUUGUAGUUUAAAGAAGUGUUUUCUGUUGAAGUUUCGGUAAAAGUUCUUUGGAAUAGGACAUCAUAGAGGGUGAGAAUCCCGUAUUUGGUCAUUCCUCCUAGCGUUGUGAUACACUUUCAACGAGUCGGAUUGUUUGGGAAUGCAGUCCAAAAUGGGCGGUAAAUUUCAUCUAAAGCUAAAUAUUGGCGAGAGACCGAUAGCGAACAAGUACCGUGAGGGAAAGAUGAAAAGGAACUUUGAAAAGAGAGUUAAACAGUACGUGAAAUUGUCAAAAGGGAAGCGUUUGACACCAGUGUUGUUUUCUCGAAAAUCAAUUAAAAAUGGCUUGAUUUUGUGUUGUAUUGACCUUAAAAGCUUUCUUCACUUUUUUCAUGUCUUUUUUAAUGCACUUUUCGUUUAACAAGUCAACAUCAGUUUCUUUUGUUGUAAAAAGGUCAUUGGAAGGUGGCUUUCUUUUCGGAGAAAGUGUUUAUAGCCUUUGACUUCUGCAAUCGGAGAGACUGAGGUCUGACAGCGUAGAUCCUUCUGGAUUAGAUUCAUUUGUGCUAAGUUACAACCGUUUAUAGACAACUUGUUGACUAUAUUCGAUCCUGUAGCUUACAUCGCUUAUGUAAUUUUACCUACGCUUAGGAUGUUGAUAUGCAUGACUGAUAU
rnacentral:rRNA from 1 species